rnacentral:snRNA from 1 species
CUUUUGGCUAAGAUCAAGUGUAGUAUCUGUUCUUAUCAGUUUAAUAUCUUGUACGUGGGUCAAUGGUUAACAACUGUAACAGCCCACACUUUUGACCUGCUAAUUAGAAUUUUUUAUUUCUUACUAAUUAUGCUUAUAAUUCAAUUUACAAAACAAAACCUGAAUUAACCUUU